rnacentral:snRNA from 1 species
UCAUUCCCGUGGCGCGGCGAGCGAGGAGGAGGAGCGUGCGUGUAGGUCUCCUCUUCCCAUGCUCAUACAUGUGACCCACAUUGCACUUGGUGGGUGCGCCGGCCUAUCAUCUCCCCAAGUGGGAGAGUGAGUGUCAUAAUUUGUGGUAGAGGGGUAUGCAUUCGUGCAGCCUUUG